CCUACGGGAGGCAGCAGUGGGGAAUAUUGCACAAUGGGGGGGACCCUGAUGCAGCGACGCCGUGUGGGUGAAGGAGUAUUUCGGUAUGUAAAGCCCUAUCAGCAGGGAAGAACAAUGACGGUACCUGACUAAGAAGCACCGGCUAAAUACGUGCCAGCAGCCGCGGUAAUACGUAUGGUGCAAGCGUUAUCCGGAUUUACUGGGUGUAAAGGGAGCGUAGACGGCGAUGCAAGUCUGAAGUGAAAGGCGGGGGCCCAACCCCCGGACUGCUUUGGAAACUGUAUGGCUGGGGUGCAGGAGAGGUA
rnacentral:rRNA from 1 species